rnacentral:lncRNA from 1 species
UUUUUUGGGGGGACACCCGGUAUACAUAUAACAAGACACAUGUGAAAUUAUUUCAGUUGAAGUCAGGAAAGAGUUUGAUGAACUUAUAUAGCUUUGAAAGACAUUUCAAGUUUUUUUUGGAAAUAUUUAUCGGGCAGUAAUAAUUGCUGUUUAGCGCCGUUAACAUAGCUUGAUAAUGGGAAUUUUGUGACAUUUGCACUAAUAACAGUAUGUGUCACAUUAAUAUUUUGUCAAAACUUGAUUUU